AUUGAACGCUGGCGGCAUGCCUUACACAUGCAAGUCGAACGGUAACAGGGAGCUUGCUCCGCUGACGAGUGGCGAACGGGUGAGUAAUGUAUCGGAACGUACCUUUCAGUGGGGGAUAACGUAGCGAAAGUUACGCUAAUACCGCAUAUUCUCUGAGGAGGAAAGCAGGGGACCUUCGGGCCUGGCGCUGAUUGAGCGGCUGAUAUCAGAUUAGCUAGUUGGUGAGGUAAAGGCUCACCAAGGCGACGAUCUGUAGCGGGUCUGAGAGGAUGAUCCGCCACACUGGAACUGAGACACGGUCCAGACUCCUACGGGAGGCAGCAGUGGGGAAUUUUGGACAAUGGGGGCAACCCUGAUCCAGCCAUGCCGCGUGAGUGAAGAAGGCCUUCGGGUUGUAAAGCUCUUUCGGCCGGGAAAAAAUCGCAUGGGCUAAUACCCUGUGUGGAUGAUGGUACCGGAAUAAGAAGCACCGGCUAACUACGUGCCAGCAGCCGCCGCCG
rnacentral:rRNA from 1 species